CAAGAGAGCUUGCUCUCUGGGUGACGAGCGGCGGACGGGUGAGUAAUGUCUGGGAAACUGCCUGAUGGAGGGGGAUAACUACUGGAAACGGUAGCUAAUACCGCAUAACGUCUUCGGACCAAAGUGGGGGACCUUCGGGCCUCACGCCAUCAGAUGUGCCCAGAUGGGAUUAGCUAGUAGGUGGGGUAAUGGCUCACCUAGGCGACGAUCCCUAGCUGGUCUGAGAGGAUGACCAGCCACACUGGAACUGAGACACGGUCCAGACUCCUACGGGAGGCAGCAGUGGGGAAUAUUGCACAAUGGGCGCAAGCCUGAUGCAGCCAUGCCGCGUGUGUGAAGAAGGCCUUCGGGUUGUAAAGCACUUUCAGCGAGGAGGAAGGGUAGUGUGUUAAUAGCACAUUGCAUUGACGUUACUCGCAGAAGAAGCACCGGCUAACUCCGUGCCAGCAGCCGCGGUAAUACGGAGGGUGCAAGCGUUAAUCGGAAUUACUGGGCGUAAAGCGCACGCAGGCGGUUUGUUAAGUCAGAUGUGAAAUCCCCGCGCUUAACGUGGGAACUG
rnacentral:rRNA from 1 species